UUCUAGCAACUGGAUUGGUUUCUAGUUUCUUUGAUAGUUGGAAGUUCUCCAAAAGUAUGAAAGGCUGGAGGGCUUUGUACCAACCAUUCUAGUGUGGUUGGAUUCUGCUCAACAGCCCAAGGACUUUCCGCACAUCUUUUGUUCUUUCCACUGCUUGAAGUGAUUGCGACAACUACGAAGAAACGACGAAUCCCAACUACGGAUAUAUAAGAACCGAAACUGCUCAGAGCAUUCCAUCCGGCGUAAGCAUCUGGAUAAUCUGGAAUGCGACGUGGCAUACCCGAAAGCCCUAAGAAAUGCAUGGGAAAGAAGGUCAGAUUAACCCCGAAAAAAGUGAUCCAAAAAUGGAUUUGGCCUAAAGUUUCAGGAUAUGUCCGACCAAAGAUUUUACCCACCCAAUAGUAAAAUCCAGCAAAUAAAGCAAAAACGGCUCCCAUAGAAAGUACAUAAUGGAAAUGUGCAACCACAUAAUAAGUAUCAUGUAGAGCAAUGUCUAGCCCAGAGUUUGCUAGAACUAUUCCAGUGAGCCCUCCUAUGGUGAACAAAAAGAUGAACCCUACAGCAAAUAACAUGGGUGUUUUGUAUUGUAUCGAACCUCCCCACAUGGUAGCGAUCCAACUAAAGAUUUUGAUUCCAGUGGGCACAGCUAUGAUCAUGGUAGCUGCGGUGAAGUAGGCACGCGUAUCAACGUCUAAGCCCACAGUAAACAUAUGAUGAGCCCAAACUAGAAAUCCAAGAACACCUAUACUUAUCAUGGCAUAAACCAUGCCUAGAUACCCGAAGACCGGUUUUCUUGAAAAGGUCGAUACGAUAUGACUAAUAAUACCGAAUCCAGGCAGAAUGAGAAUAUACACCUCUGGAUGACCGAAGAACCAAAAGAGAUGCUGGUAUAAUAUUGGGUCUCCCCCUCCUGCUGGAUCAAAAAAGGUUGUAUUAAAGUUUCGAUCGGUUAAUAACAUUGUAAUUGCCCCUGCCAGUACCGGAAGUGAUAAUAAAAGUAGGAAUGCUGUCACUAAAACGGACCACACAAAAAGUGGUAAUCUAUGCAUAGUCAUUCCAGGUCCACGCAUGUUGAAGAUAGUAGUUAUAAAAUUGAUAGAACCUAAAAUUGAUGAAACACCUGAUAGAUGAAGACUAAAAAUUGCUAAAUCAACUGCUCCUCCAGAAUGGCUGGUAAUACCACUUAAGGGCGGAUAGACCGUCCACCCAGUGCCGCUGCCCACUUCUACUAAGGCUGAGCUUAAUAGGAGCAAGAGACUUGGUGGCAACAACCAGAAUGAUAUAUUAUUUAAUCGUGGAAAUGCCAUGUCAGGUGCACCUAUCAGAAUCGGAACAAACCAAUUCCCAAAUCCACCUAUCAUCGCCGGCAUAACCAUAAAAAAGAUCAUUAAAAAAGCGUGAGCCGUUAUUAAAACAUUAUAAAGUUGAUGAUUCCCACCAAGAAUUUGAUCGCCGGGUCGGGCUAAUUCCAUACGAAUCAGUACGGAGAAGCAUGUGCCCAUCACUCCUGCAAUGGCACCGAAGAUGAAAUAUAGAGUACCGAUAUCCUUGUGGUUAGUGGAGAAGAGCCAUCGGACCAGAUUUGUCAUUUUUUUUUCGUUUUGAAAACCUUAUCAGAGAGGGGCCACUAAGGCAGGCAGGCCAAAGAAUGAAGGGCAGUGAAAAUGGUUUCUUCUUCUGGCUAAUUCCGAUACGAAUACCAAAAACAGCUUACUUCCGUUCGUGUCCUCGGAAAUUGGAUUACUUAUGAGUUUCUUCGGUGCAAAAGUAGGCAAGUCCAUUUUAUCGUGUUUUUCGUCCUCAAGACCUGAUUUUCCAAAGUGCAUUUCAUAUAGCUGCAAAAGUUGCUCAUCCGAUUUUCCCUCGCUUUUAUUCGUAACAUGGCGUAGUUACUCAUUGGGUCCGCUGAGAAGAAAACAAUAGGUCGUCACUACCUAUGCUUUCAUCUAGAGGAAGUCAGGCUGUGAUUCGUAACAUGGCGUAGUUACUCACAGGCCGUGGAUCUCCUUUUUCUAAUCAAGCAGCAGGCCGUGGGUUUUCUGGUUCUGCGCUUCAGAAGAGGCAAAGUUUCCGUGAUUCGUAUCUGCUUUGAGGGCAGGUGCGGGUUGGUUCAUGCUUCGAAGAAGAAUCGUUCUUUCUAGAUCGAAGAAGAAUCGUUCUCUUUCUCGAAAUGAAAUAAGUUAAGUGAAGUGAUCCUGCGAAACCUAAGAUGCCGGACCAAACCAAUGGAGAGCCCACAGAUGAUAUCAAGGAAACUGUUCCAGUGACAAUGCCAACUAAUACGACUUCGGACGAAUACGCUAUCCUCGAAACUAAACUCCCUGUAUGGUCGAGAAUGAAUGGAUUCCCCUAUGGCAAUUUCUUAUUCCUGCUAUCAUAGCCUGGCUGGGAUCUUAGCGGCACAUUCUGACCUUGCUUCAUAGACAGCGGUACCUUUCUCAGCUUCUUCUAGAUAGAGAUAGUUAGUUUCCUCUAGAUAGCUAGUUUCCUUUUUUUUGGAAGAUUGAGAUUGACGCUUGGCAAAUUGGGUUGACGACGCGCCAUAUGGGUUUGAGGAUAGUGCCAGAAGUGCCGUAGCUCCUUUGCUGUUCGUGGAGGCUGGCUAUUUGCAGUUGACUUCCUUCCCGAAGUGACUGGCUAGAAUUCUCAUACGAUAAUAGGAGAGAGAUGCCGAUAAUUGGAGAAGGCGAGACCAAGCCUGCCGGGAGAGGAGAAGUGGCUUACGAGGCUAGAAUAGAGUUGGUUGGUGCUGAUACCAGUAGCUGCAGCUGCCGGGGAAAUCUGUCCUGUCGGUUCGCGAGGAGUUGAAGUUGUUUGUACUUACUUAGACCCCAAUGAGUCUAUGGCUUGCCAGCCUCUAUCUAGUCCUCUGCAGGUCAGGUAGAAAGACGGAAAGACUUAAAGGGAAGUUCUUGUUCUUAUCUAGCGCAAAAAGCAUAAGGAUGAAUUGGUUUUCCCUUCAAGCCACAACAGCGGUAUGAGUUAAGAUCCAAAUCUAGCAAGAAUCUUUCGCCACCCACAUAGGAAAAUGCGAGCAGUUUACCCACACCUAUUCGAAGAACCAAGGUAGCUGCCUUUCCAGUCGAGUCACUUCUCUACCAGUACAAUAGCUGGGUCUCUUUCUCGUUGGCACCAUCCCUUAUUCUUAGAAUUCCUAUGGCACUUCGAAAGAUCAUGUGCCCUGAACUCGUACGUGACUUAUCCUCACUGAUGUCAAAACCCAGCAGAUUGUACUUUUUCUUUGAGUGGCCAGGCCAGGCAGAUCCUAAGAAUAGAGAACCUAUGGCGUCUGAGAUGGGUGAACGGCACACCCUACUACGGCGUGUUUAUGUCAUUGACACAGCUCGAGUAAUAGAGACACAGAUCUUGUUUCUUGGCUUGGGAAGACUUCCAACAUAGAGUUCCUUCCCUUCAAUGGAACAGCAAUCGAUGAAUGGAGUUUGAGGAUUGUCAUAGAAUAGAACAGAACUCGCCUCCACCUAAGAACUUCACUUUGAAAUCCACAGCACGAACACGGCUCUUAUAGAUUAGGUUUCCUGGGAGUUCCCUUUCUUCGAGUACUAUCCAUACAAUAUUAGUGACCCUGCUCCUUUCCUUGAAUUGUGAUCUAUUGCCUAUGGUGGCUUCGGCUUAGGCUGUUGAUUAAUGCCUUGGUGUGUUUUCUUCUUGUUUCUUCUCUUCUUCUUGUGAUCUUGAUUGCGCCUGUUUGCACUUAGCUUGAUGUGAUUUUCUUUAGGCUCAGCUCUCCUCUUUGACGAGAAUCCGAAAACUUUCCUUUCCUUGAAAGGGGAAGUCCGCCACUCCACUAAGACCGCUUGCUUCUCAUGCGCUGAUGAAGUUCGUACCACUUCUUGCUGUCGAAGAGCUAGGAAUCCAGUCACUCAGGAAAGCGUAACUAUACUAUACUAUACUAUCUAUUUACGAUAAUUUGAUUGCUGACAACAUCACGCUUCUCUUUCUCCAGCGUCAUGCCUUGUGACCUCUAGUUUCAACCUCCUAGCAUUGGCUUCACUUGAUUAGAACCAUAAGCAUUUGCAUUCGCGACCGUCCUCGUCCCAGGUUUUGUUCUUCUUUGCUUUGGUGAGGUAUACCUCUAUCAAAUGUGCUUAGCCUUUUCGCUAGUGCUAUUUCAUGCCAUUGGUUUGAACUGGAUAGAGGGGAAGGGCCUUACCUUAUCUACAACUAUCUAAUUGCAAUUCCGGAUAGCAUAGCAUUAUUCUUAGCCGAGGAAGGAACCGUUGAUGGCGGAGUUAUUUGCACGGAUUUUCCAGCUAUAUGAAGAUGAGGCUAAAAGACGCGGAUAGAAGUCCGAAAAUUAGUUCAAAAAAGGCCACAAUCGUUAAAGAAAGGGACCUUGAUCCUUUCAUCGUUUUUGCACUUGAAAAAGAAAUUUGCAAAGCGGGUUAUUAACGAAUUGAGUUUACUUUUCAGUUGAGAACCGUCCAGAAGCGCUGAAGAGGGUGUCGGAAUCAUUCGAGGCUCCUGGAAGUUACCAGCGAGUGCCGGAUGAAUUGAAGGCUCGACGACUCCCUCGAAUCCUGCAGGGUUAAGGGAGGCUACCUGAAGCUGCUGGAAGGCGAGAAUCGUUUAAUAAACAGACUGAGUUAUAACCCAUAUUAUAGUUAUAAACUAUAUUCAUCAAACUACAAACUACUAGAAUUGGAAAUAAAAUAAUGAUUAUACUCGGCCAGCGAGUAACAAGAAGGUGGCACAAUUGAGGGUAGGAAAGAAUCCAGGGUAAUGGUCAAUACUGAGAACAUGAAUUCCCUUAGCGCGUUGGAUCAUCGAAUAAUGGAAAAAUUCCUAUCUCUGGUAAGACGGGUUCAUCAACUCAUUUCUCGGUCAGAUAUUGGUCAACAAAAGUACAAUUGGAACUUGUCACCAGCCUCAUCUGGUGAGGGAUCAGCUGUAUCGGCUUUCCCUAGUGAUAAGGUCUGUGAGGUUGUGGAGAAGAUGAAGUUGAUACACACUACGGAAUUCUUUCUUCUUUUCUAUUGCUUUUUUAGAAGAAAAAAGAAAGAUAACUCAAAACACGUAUUGCUGCUUCUUCACUCUUUGCUUGAUCGCAUAUUCAUGAUGUUAACCCUUCUUCUAUUUGCUGAAGCUGGGCAUUGGUUGGGAUUGAACCUACGGCACUACUUAUGAUGCUAUCAAAGGUAUUGAAUCCGUAAGCUUAUUGAUCGCAUAUUGCACUUCUUUUCUGGAAUGAGAGAGGAAAGGGUAGAGAGAGCGAGGAUAUGCUUAAUCCGCUUUGGGAGGCAUAUGCAUUUCAGUCUGCACGGGCUUACAAAGAGGCAGGCAUUUGGAUAGCACAGAUAACCGAGACAGGAAUAGUUGUCACGAGAUAUGAGAGGGAGAGUUUCUAGAUGAGCAAGAAGGCGUUAAAUAUAUAAUGCAAAAAGGAACUACCUAAUAAGCCAGCUCAGCUCUAUGGUUUUUGCAACGUUUCAACUAAACUAAUUGGAAAUGCCUGCUCUUCGAUGUUACAAGCUAGCCUUGCUACGAUUUCCAUAUAGGUACAGAAGAUUGUGAUACCCCUCCCAGAGUGUAUGCUCCAGAUGAAGCUAGCUUCCAAGCGAAUGAACUGUAAAAUCUCUACUCUUUUGCCAUCUUAUUCUUACUUAAGAAGCUUCUCUAGAUCGACUUCUCUUUCUUCAUUAGGCAGGCAGGUUCGCCGCUUUGCCAUGCCAGGACGAAUAGAGUUAGCGAGCACGUAGCAUUAUCUAUAUCAGGAGCUAAUAAAAGUCAAGAGAUCAAAUCCGUGCACUGGCAUUUUGGAAGUAGCAUUGGAAAGAACUUGCUUUGCAUUUGUACACAGGGUGUACACAUUAUAUAUGAAUGAAACAUAUUCAUUAACUUAAGCAUACUCCUUUUUUUAUUUAAUGAGUUGAUAUUAAUUAAAUAUUUUUUUUUUCGAUUUUUGCAAAGGUUUCAUUUACGCCUAAUCCAUAUCGAGUAGACCCUGUCGUUGUGAGAAUUCUUAAUUCAUGAGUUGUAGGGAGGGACUUAUGUCACCACAAACAGAAACUAAAGCAAGUGUUGGAUUUAAAGCUGGUGUUAAGGAUUAUAAAUUGACUUACUACACCCCGGAGUACGAAACCAAGGAUACUGAUAUCUUGGCAGCAAGCAUUCCGAGUAACUCCUCAGCUCGGGCGCCUGAAGAAGCAGGAGCUGCAGUAGCUGCGGAAUCUUCUACUGGUACAUGGACAACUGUUUGGACUGAUGGACUUACCAGUCUUGAUCGUUACAAAGGACGAUGCUAUCACAUCGAGCCCGUUCCUGGGGACCCAGAUCAAUAUAUCUGUUAUGUAGCUUAUCCAUUAGACCUAUUUGAAGAGGGUUCUGUUACUAACAUGUUUACUUCCAUUGUGGGUAACGUAUUUGGUUUCAAAGCCUUACGCGCUCUACGUUUGGAGGAUCUACGAAUUCCCCCUGCUUAUUCAAAAACUUUCCAAGGUCCGCCUCACGGUAUCCAAGUUGAAAGGGAUAAGUUGAACAAGUACGGUCGUCCUUUAUUGGGAUGUACUAUUAAACGGAUUAUCCGCAAAAAAUUACGGUAGAGCGUGUUAUGAGUGUCUACGCGGUGGACUUGAUUUUACCAAAGAUGAUGAAAACGUAAACUCACAACCAUUUAUGCGCUGGAGAGACCGUUUUGUCUUUUGUGCCGAAGCAAUUUAUAAAGCACAAGCCGAAACCGGUGAAAUCAAGGGGCAUUACUUGAAUGCGACUGCAGGUACAUGCGAAUAAAUGAUUAAGAGAGCUGUAUUUGCAAGGGAAUUAGGGGUUCCUAUUGUAAUGCAUGACUACUUAACAGGAGGUCGCAAAUACUACUUUGUCUCAUUAUUGCCGCGACAACGGCCUACUUCUUCACAUUCACCGAGCAAUGCAUGCAGUUAUUGAUAGACAGAAAAAUCAUGGUAUGCAUUUCCGUGUAUUAGCUAAAGCAUUGCGUAUGUCGGGGGGAGAUCAUAUCCACUCCGGUACAGUAGUAGGUAAGUUAGAAGGGGAACGCGAAAUAACUUUAGGUUUUGUUGAUUUAUUGCGCGAUGAUUUUAUUGAAAAAGAUCGUUAUCGCGGUAUCUUUUUCACUCAGGACUGGGUAUCCAUGCCAGGUGUUAUACCGGUGGCUUCUGGGGGUAUUCAUGUUUGGCAUAUGCCAGCUCUGACCGAAAUCUUUGGAGAUGAUUCCGUAUUACAAUUUGGUGGAGGAACUUUAGGACAUCCUUGGGGAAAUGCACCUGGUGCAGCAGCUAAUCGUGUGGCUUUAGAAGCCUGUGUACAAGCUCGUAACGAAGGGCGCGAUCUUGCUCGUGAAGGUAAUGAAAUUAUCAAAGCAGCUUGCAAAUGGAGUGCUGAACUAGCCGCAGCUUGUGAAAUAUGGAAGGAGAUCCAAUUUGAUGGUUUCAAAGCGAUGGAUACCAUAUAAAAUAAAAAA